rnacentral:lncRNA from 1 species
GCUGUAGGGAUUUGUCGAGAAGCUGCUACUCCGGCUUCAGAAGAUCUUUUGAAGAUCUUCCAGAUCAGAUCCAGAUCUAAUUUUUGGAGCAAAUAUUUACAAGGAGAAGAUGAUCUAGAUCCUGCUCGAGUGGAUACCGAUAGAGGUCAGGCAACUGCGUGGUUAUUUUUGAACCUCGGACAUUGCUGCGAUCAUCUACAGGGUAAUCU